UAAAAAAAAAAGUAAAAAAAAAAAACAAAAAACUGAAUCUUCUCAUCUAAUCUCCACAUGGGUUAACUCACCUCUUACCCAAUAUCAUAACCGGUGCAAGCAUAUUAUCUUACCUAAUUGUUUAUCUCUGUUUAGAAGCUUUAAGUUGAGCUUGACAAGAGACUGGAUCUCACUCUUAGCACCGUCAUCUUCUCUGGCCUUGCUUUCAGCGCAAACUUUUUCCAUUUUAACUUCUCCCUUGGGAAAGUCUACCUUACAGGAGGACAAUCCACUGAGGUCUUCUUUGGUGUUUGAUGAUUCAGAAGCCCCUGGCACAGAGCCAACCAAAGUUAUCAAAUGAUGAGAUCCAUUUUGCUGAUUAGAAUCAUUUAAUGAAGUUCUGCAUGGAUUUUUCUGCUGGAGUGUUUCCUGAGUUUCAUAAAAGACAUUACUUGGACUGCUGGUCUGCACCUUCGAAGAAGACGCAGAUACAGAAAAUUGUGGUGAACAAAUAGUUGGUAGAGUGUCAGUACAUUCUACAAUUUCCUUCAUCGCCACCUUAGAAUGCUUUUGCAUUUUCAACUUAGUGAAUAUAUGCAUGUUGGUUUGCUUUUCAGGAGAACAAUGCUUAUACUGCUUCUCAGUCCCAGUGUUCCCCAGCCCUGGAGUUCCAAGUUGUUGGCUUCUUGGCAAAUGCAGACUUGGACUUCCAUCAAUUGCUUUUCUUGAAGAAUUGCCCUUAUUGUCAUGACUUUUUGACUCCGAAUGAACACUUUUGGUUCUUCUACAAGCUUUUUGUACUGACUUUGCCUUGUCCAUCAUUUUCCAUGCCUUGUCGAUAUCAUGAGAAUGUCUAUCUUGCACUAAGAUGCCAGGUAAGCUAUCUUUGGUUGUCAGUUCAUGAGCAGUUAUGGAAGACAAGGAUUGUGCUAUGCCUGAAUUGUCAUGUGACAGUGCAAGAGUAUUACAUUUUCCGAUACUAGAUUCCCUUGGACCAGAAGAGAAUCUCAAGGACCCACUUCGCAAGGAAUUCCAAUUUUCACGCAGUGCUCGUAUGUAACCUUGCACAUUGCGACAUCGACUCAAUGUUCUGGCACCAGAAUGAGUUACCUUAUCUGCAUCACUCUGAGGUGCUCCUUCAACUGACCCAAAUUGAGGAGUUAUUUCUCCUGGCCGAGUCAAUUCAUUUGCAAGACUAUGUUGCCUCUCACAGGAGAAUCUUGUUCGUGGCCUGCGAAACAAUUGGUCAUCUGAUUCACGAACAAUAUCAAAAAUGGAAACAUCUGCCUCAUCCACUGCCAAGACAUUAGUGUUUCCUGAGGUGUUUUGAUUGUCAACAACAUCAUUAAACAUGGAAACACGUGAUUCAGCCGCUAGCAUUACCAGGGAUUUCACAUAUAAAUCCUGAUUCAUAUUGUCAUCAUCUUUUUGAAUAUUGUCAUGUUCAGUCCUAGAAACAGCACAAUCAUGGCAAAACCAAUCACCUUCAGGUACAGUGGCUCCGAGACCAACACAAUAGGUAUGGGCAGCAGAAUCACAAAGAUCACAAAGUAGUAGAAGAUUUUCAUCUCGUCCUAGACAGCAGAUACUACAUUGAACUUGUGCAUACGGAUCAAAAGGCCCAUUGGUGGUGUUUCUGGAAAAAUGGUAAACCUAGAAAGUAAUAUACGUUAGUAUAUGACACGGUCAUCUAAAGUAAUCUAUAUAUCCACAUCAACUACUGUUUGAUAAACAAAUUACGCACUAUGAUAUCUGACCAACAUUACCUACAGCGUAAGGCCAGUGAGAGUUUGAGAUGGUACUCCUAAACUUAUGUUUGCUACAAUGUAAUUAAGUAUACUCUGAUGUAAUGAAAUGAAUUUUUAUUUCAUAUUUCUAUUGAAUUUUCGUUUGGUUACAUUCUAUUACGUUCAAUUACAUCUUACCAAACAUACACUAAUGCCAUGCAACGCUCUUUAUACUUCCAUCCUGAACCAAUAUGAAUAUGAAUCCUUACUGUAUAGCUGCUCUGAUGGGGGAAAAACAAUUAAAAAGUUAAUCAUCAGUUCUAAACAGAGCCUAAAAUAGCAAUCCUGAAGCAAUUUUCAGCCCACAAGCACUUAAUUACUAUCACAAAUGAACAUAAUCACUAUCAUAAAGCAAAAAAAAGAAAAAAAAUGCACAAAAUCAAGAGAAAAUCAGAAGCCUAUGAAUUUUUUAGCAGAAUUGAAAGGACAACUUACUUGGUCGCGUUUAGGGAUAUUAACAAUGCGUUCUGAGGAAAACACACCGUCCUUUGGGGGUCUACGAAUGGUGGUAAACCGGCUUUUACACAUGGGGCAACGAGACUCGACCUUAGCCCACUCCAUGAUGCAAACGAAGCAGAAAAAGUGUUCGCAGCUGUCGAUUUGGCCUCUGAUUGCGCUCGCAUGAUCAGACAAACAGAUUCCGCAGCUCAACGAAUCCUCACCGAACAUUGAGACUGAGACUAAUUGGUUCCGCUGCGAUUGAUUUUCUUCCCCCUCCUGCUCUCGUUCGGAUUCGUACUGAUGGUUUUCUUCUUUAAUUGUGCAGCAGGAAUCGGAGAGAAGGGAUUUGAGGCGCUUAUUUGGGUUGGGCAGUGAGUCAGUCGCCAUCGAUGGUGAUAAUUCGUACCGGAUUUUCCAACGAGCGCGUUACUGAAAUUAAUGCUUAGUGCCGGGAUUAAAUUGGGCUAAGCUAAACAAGUACAAGCUUUUUCUAAGGUUGAGCUUUCCUUCGCCUGAUGUCUUUCCUGAACUUCCACAUUUCUUUUAAGCUCCAUUGUAAUCGGGUAUGAUUUCUAGUGUAGGGGAGAUGCCCAAUUUUCUUUUACCAGAGAGAAAAUUCAUUGAUGAAAAAGUUCAGUACAAGCCCAAGGCUUCAAGACAUGCCGAAAUACAAAGCCCUUAGGUCCAACAGGUGAACAAGAAGGAUGGCAUGCAGUGCUGCCUAUUUCGCCUCCAUCUUGUAGAUAAGCAGCUCCAAUCAUCUUCGCUACCAUUUGGGAAGUAAAUCAAACUAUCCGAGUAUAAAAAAAUAAAAAUAAGACUCGGAGACUACACCAUUUUUGCUCAAACAGAACAACCAGAUUCAAACUCCAUGAAACACAAGAAAAGUAGAUGGGUAGAGUUAUAAGAACAAUCUUAUCUUGAUGGGUCAGGCAGUCAUCGGAGUGCCAACCAUGCAGCCCUAAAGUUACUCAUUUUCACGGCACUCACAACACUCUCACCGGGCAACCUCAGGGCAUAAGCAACCAGCCAAGCCAAAACCAUAAGCUUCUCAGGCCAAUGGAAGGAUAACACAUGCAAGAUCAGAUAAAAUUCUCUCCUAUAUAUAACCGCAAUACUUGCAACGAAAAGACAACACAAACAAUUAUAUGCAACCUCGCUCGACAGUCAGGAGGGAGGGACUCACGUCCGGGCAAGAAAAGGAGACCAAACCUUUGCCCAGGGAGUAAAAAAGGGGCGAAAACCUUAACAAAAAAGAGACCGAUAUCUCAUAAAAUUUAAGAACCAAUUGAGACAAAAUUUCUCUCUCUAAACAAUUAGAGAGGGAGACCCUAUUAUGGGAACUGAAAUUCCACGACUCACAUCUUUUCAUCCCAAUUGCAAUAGCAUUUGGAUGAUAUCUAGUUAAACUUGAAUUUUUUACUAGCCUUUUCUCUCUUUUUGGGAUUUCACUUUUGCUCGCUAGGAUUACUUUGUUGGCCCUCCGUUUGCUCUCCCUUUCCCCUUCCAGGUAGGGGGGAGUCUCCUUUGUUUCUGCCUGAUAAUGGGUUACUUACCCUCCCCAUUGUUGAGUGGGAUGUAUAUAGAUUAUUUUGUUUUGUUUGUGUUAUGCUUGCAGGUUAAGUGAAUAACUGAGAGGGUAUGGGUGCUUGAAGACUUGCUUUGUUCGAAAGUUUUCUCGUCGGCGACCAUGGUUCGGAGUCGAUUUGGUGUAUGGAUGCUGGGAUUUUUCUAUCUCCUUGCUGAUAUGUUUGUCGGGCUAGGGAUGGGUGCUAUUUAUUCGCCUGCUUGCUUGUUGGAUGCAGAGAAAGUAGGGCACGAGAGGGAUGCCGAACGAUCUCCCCGCUCCUAUAGUGCAAGCCUAUGGUUCAAUGGAUGCUCAAUCUUUAGUUCUUUUUGGUAGCCAUGACCUUGUUUCUUACAUGUGUUGGUGCCUUUAGUUUCUACUAAUUCUUGUUAUGGAUGUUGUGGCUGAGGUUGAUUGUCCCCUGUUAUGGUUCAACGGUGGUGUGCUCUUGCUUGACGGCGCCGUAGUUGGUGUGGCUAUCUGCUUCCGAGUUGUUUAUUACUAGUCACGUGAAAUGGGUCUUAACCUAGGAUUUUAAUUGUUUUUUAAGCCUUUUGUUGAGACUAGGGGCUUUUGUGGUCAUGGACUCGGUGUAUGUCAAUAUGAGAUUCAGUUUGAGGCUUAACUCUCUGGUUGUUGUACGGGCUCUGAGCUCAUUUGUGUAUCCA
rnacentral:misc_RNA from 1 species